AAUAGCGUCUGCUCUUGGAAGCUAGGGCCUGCUUAGUACUUGGAUGGGAGACCAACUUGAAAGACCAGGGGCCGCUAUCC
rnacentral:rRNA from 12 species